AUGGAUAUCUCGCUCGCGUACGCCGUCUUCAGCGCGCGCCACGCGUCCGAUGGGCCCACCCACCGCCCACCGCCCAUGCCUUAUCUUCUUGCUUCGGUCUUCUUCUUCUCCCCUCCACCAAAUCAGCCGAGUCCCCUUCUCUCCUCCACCAAAUCGGGGGAGGAAAUGACGGCGACCACCGUAGCUAGCAUCUCUGUCGCAGCAGUUGCGUCGCGUCGCCCGUCGCGUGCUUCAUCGGAGCACCCGGGUCGCCGUCGCAGCGCAGACGGCGCCACCGCGUGCGCGUGGCGGUGCUGCAGUGGAGCGCUUGUCGCCGGCUCCCGGUGCUGUGGCGCGGCGCUCACAUGGCGGACUGGAGCUCGGUGCUGCAAGGAAGCUUCACUGGCGGCGCCCGAAGCACCCCGUCGCCAUCGCAGCCGCAUACGCCGCGGUGUUGCAAUGGAGCGGUCGGCGGCGGCUCCCGGUGGUGCGAUGCAGCGCUUGCGCGGCGGCCCGGAGCUCCGUGCUGCAAUGGUGUGUCGCCGGCGGCUGCAAUGGAGCUUCACCUGCGAAGCCCAGAGCUGUGAAGCAGCGCCCAGAGCUGUGAAGCAGCGGCCGGCGCUCCAAUGGAGCUUCACCGGCGAGCCCGGAGCUGCUCUGCAGCGGGUGGUGCGGCGUUGGAGCUCCGCCGGGGCUGCAAUGGAGCUCAGCCGGGGUUGCAAUGGAGUCGCCGGAGCUGCAGUGAAGCACGGCGAAGGGUCGUCAAGAUUUGUCGGGGUUGCAAUGGAGCCGCCGGAGUUGCAGUGA
rnacentral:rRNA from 1 species